GACGAACGCUGGCGGCGUGCUUAACACAUGCAAGUCGAACGGUGAAGCGCCUUCCUUUUUGGUGGGUGUGGAUGAGUGGCGAACGGGUGAGUAACACGUGAGUAACCUGCCCCCUUCUUCUGGAUAACCGCAUGAAAGUGUGGCUAAUACGGGAUAUUCUGGGUCUGUCGCAUGAUGGGUCUGGGAAAGAUAUUGUUUCGGUGGGGGAUGGGCUCGCGGCCUAUCAGCUUGUUGGUGGGGUGAUGGCCUACCAAGGCGGUGACGGGUAGCCGGCCGGAGAGGGUGGACGGUCACACGGGGACUGAGCCACGGCCAAGCCUCCUACGGGAGGCAGCAGUGGGGAAUAGUGCACAAUGGGCGCAAGCCUGAUGCAGCGACGCCGCGUGAGGGAUGGAGGCCUUCGGGUUGUGAACCUCUUUCGCCAGUGAAGCAGGCCUGCCUCGUUUGUGGGUGGGUUGACGGUAGCUGGAUAAGAAGCGCCGGCUAACUACGUG
rnacentral:rRNA from 1 species